rnacentral:rRNA from 1 species
GACAGAGGGUGCAAACGUUGUUCGGAAUUACUGGGCGUAAAGCGCGUGUAGGCGGCUUUGCAAGUCGGGUGUGAAAUCCCACGGCUCAACCGUGGAAGUGCAUUCGAAACUGCGAGGCUAGAGUCCUGGAGAGGGAGGUGGAAUGCUUGGUGUAGAGGUGAAAUUCGUAGAUAUCAAGCGGAACACCGGUGGCGAAGGCGGCCUUCUGGACAGUGACUGACGCUGAGACGCGAAAGCGUGGGGAGCAAACAGG